CAGCUCCAAAGCCCAAUGAGGGAUGUAUUUUGAACUCACUUUUAAACUCCCUUUGAAAACUCUCAGCUCCCCAUCUUCUGAAAAAGAUGGGGUUUUUGAGGAUAUCGCCCUUGAUAAGCAUCAGAUAGGAUGAUUCUGCUUCAGGAAAAAAGGAAUUGUCUACUUAUGCAGCUGGAAGAAGCACCCGCUUAACAUCCUCCCUCCAGUCCCAGUUAAAAGGUAGGUUACUUUCAAAGAGAAAACGUAUUUGUUCAUAGCUUCCAAUGACUGGUACGUGAACUCGUUUCUUGUAGCUUAUUUUUCUCCUACUGGAGCUCGACCUGAAAUGUUGUUAACACAGAAUGGAUACAUUAUAUUUAACAUGCUACUGCUGUAUGACUCAAGGAAUAUGGAGAGAACCACAUUUGGCUUCAGGCAGUGCAGUGACUCUUUGAGAAGACAGUGCCAAGAGGUUGGAGAGGAGGGUACGCUGCAUCUCCACAUGCCUGUCGGAUUAUUCACUAGCCAGCGACAGUGGGGUGUUUGAACCUCUAACCAAAAGUCCUUUGUGAUAUCUGCUGGUUUCAUUGUGAGCUGCAAGGAAAUAGAGAGCUGGAGGAUUGAAGCCUAGUCUGAGAAGUUACUCUAUGAGAGAAGCAAACCCCAAAGGUAGAGUGGAAACAACAAUUAUAAGAGGAAAUGUGGCCAGGUGUGGUGGCUCAAGCCUAUAAUCUCAGCACUUUGGGAGGCUGAGGCGAGCAGAUCACCUGAGGUCAGGAGUUUGAGACCAGCUGGGCCAACAUGGUGAAACCCCGUCUCUACUAAAAAUACAAAAAAUUAGCCAGGUGUGGUGGCAUGUGCCUGUAGUCCCAGCUACUUGGGAGACUGAGGCACAAGAAUCACUUGAACCCAGGAGGUGGAUGUUGCAGUGAGCCAAGAUCACGCCAUUACACUCCAGCCUGGGGGACAGAGCAAGACUCCGUCUCAAAAAAAAAAAGAGGAAAUGCAACAAGACACAGCCUGUGGAACCUGCCAAGAAGAAGACAAAGGAAGGAGACUGUCUAGGAUUGAGAUCUGAUUUGUGUGAGGAGGGUUAGUGAUGGAGGGAGAUAAGGGGCAUGAUGUGACAGCAUAGGGACCUGUUUUAAUGAACAGUGUUCAUGGGGAGUUUUGAGAGAUGUUGGGAUGGAAUUAUGACCUUGCCACCUCAAUAAUUAACUAGUUUGUCGGGCGCGGUGGCUCACGCCUGUAAUCCCAGCACUUUGGGAGGCUGAGACGGGCAGAUCAUGAGGUCAGAGAUCGAGACCAUCCUGGCUAACACAGUGAAACCCCGUCUCUACUAAAAAUACAAAAAGAUUAGCCAGGCGAAGUGGCGGGCACCUGUAGUCCCAGCUAUUCG
rnacentral:lncRNA from 1 species